AAGUAUAUAUAUUCGAACUAUGUCAAGUCGAACGCGAGGGAACUGGUCCAAGCUUAUGUUUGGCUCUUUAAAAUAUUGAGCGGAAAUAUUUAGUUUGUGUUCAGUUCACUUAUUAAAUGAAUAGUUUGAUCUCAAGUUUAUUUCGAAUUGAAUGUGAAUUGGCUCGUAAACAACGAGCUGAGUUGUCAGCUCUGACAUUAUGAUAAUAUAUUUGAACACACCGAGUAAUGUUCUUAGUAUCCUUACCAUUACCAUUUACAUCUUCU
rnacentral:lncRNA from 1 species